rnacentral:rRNA from 1 species
CGGUGGAGCGAUGUGGUUUAAUUCGAAGCAACGCGAAGAACCGUUACCAGGCCUUGACAUGCAGAGAACUUUCCAGAGAUGGAUUGGUGCCUUCGGGAACGUCUGACACAGGUGCUGCAUGGCUGUCGUCAGCUCGUGUCGUGAGAUGCUGGGUUAAGUCCGUAACGAGCGCAACCCUUGUCCUUAGUUACCAGCACGUUAUGGUGGGCACUCUAAGGAGACUGCCGGUGACAAACCGGAGGAAGGUGGGGAUGACGUCAAGUCAUCAUGGCCCUUACGGCCUGGGCUACACACGUGCUACAAUGGUCGGUACAAAGGGUUGCCAAGCCGCGAGGUGGAGCUAAUCCCAUAAAACCGAUCGUAGUCCGGAUCGCAGUCUGCAACUCGACUGCGUGAAGUUGGAAUCGCUAGUAAUCGUGAAUCAGAAUGUCACGGUGAAUACGUUCCCGGGCCUU